GGUGUCCUCCUUUCCCCUCUGUGCCUGUUCACCUGGUGAUGAAGGUGAGUGUGGGAGUGCGUGUUCAGGUCAGAAUUCCUGAAACCCCAGAUGUGGGUCACAGCUGCCAGACCCUGCAAGCCACGCCAGGCCCGGGCCAGGCCCCACCCCAACCCAGGUGGCUCCUGCUCCUCCAGAUCCCCUUGCAGGACCUGGAAGGACCCAGACUUGGGGUUGAGGGAGAAGGGCGAUGCCAGCGAGAGGUCCUUUGGGGAGAACACAGGGUCCCUGCUUUCUAGAGUGGUGGCAAGGCUGAGAUUGAAGAUGGGGCGCUCCUCCAUGCUCACAUUUUUGAGGGUCUAUUACUGCUGGAGUCCAGGAACACUCCAGUUGUGUUAGAUUCCAACACUCCACCCGCCAGCCUUUUCCCUCUCUCUCCCAGCCGCUUCGCAAUACCUUUAUUUCGUUUUGCCUUUUGCUCUACUCGAGCUUAACUGGCUUUCCCUCACCUGGCCUUUAUUGCCAGCCUCUGCCCCCCGAGCCCUGCUGGCUUCACUUAAUUGUCUUUGCUGCUGGCCAUGAUCCCAACCUGGACACCCUCCCUUCUCCAGGGAGCCGGUGCUGGCUCCUCCUUCCAGACCCAGCUCCAAAGCCCUCCCUCCAGGAGGUUCUCAGGGCCCAGCAUCAGGAGGUGCAGCGCCCUUUGACCUUACAUGUCCAGGUGGUCCUGUUGUUGGCAUCCCUGGCUGCAUUGGACCCCAGGAUAUGGAAAAAGGUAUAGGGAGUCUGCUAUUCUUGCAAGAUGAAGCUUAACUUUCUUUGUGGCACCUUCCCUGGUCCCCACUCCCCGUGUUGAAAUCACUGUUCUCUGUCCCACGAGAUUGUGAGCCUUUCCUAUGACUAGCAUACAUACUAGCAUAAAUGUUUGCUGAGUGAGAGGUGUUUCUUGCCACUUGGACAAUUAUAGUCUAAUUGGGAGGAAUAGAUCAUAUACAUAAAGGGGAAAAACAAACAUCACAAGGUGACAGAGCCUGAGGACCAGACUGGCUGCGCCAGUAAUUGUUUAUUGGCCCCCUCUGCCCUUGGGGUGUCUAUUCUGCUUUCCAAGUCACAAAGGACAAGGGUCAUCACCUCUAAUUUACUUUAACUCACCUGCUACCGGGUCUGGGGUUUUGCACACAGCAGGUGCCCGACGUAUGUCUAAGUGGACCAGAAGGUGUGAGAUGGGUUUGCUGUGACCCAGAACAGGGCUAUCCACCUCCAACCCUGACAGCCACUAGGAUUAAGUCUUGGUUCUGUUCUCAGAAACUCCAGGAAAAGGAAUCCCGUUCUUCUCUCCUUCUCCUCCCCCUCCUCCUCCUUCCCCUCCUCCUCCUCCUCCUCCUCUUCCUCCUUCUCUUCUUCUUCUUUCUUCUUCUUCUUCUAACAAAUCAUUGUUUCAAAUUAAAUCAUAAAUGGAAGCCCAAUUAAACAAACCAGGUCUCCCAUCAAUUAGCCCUAUAGGUAAGGGCUGGCAUGGCUCUGGCUGAAUAAGGGGCUCAGGGCACUGCAGUCUCCAAAGCACCUCUCUAGACCCAUUCCACAAAGCAUGGUGUGAAAACCCAUUUCCUGAGCCAGCCACUGGGUUACUCAGGAACAUCCUCCUCCACCCUGUCCCACUUGCAGCCUUCGUCGGGGACUUUGGGAGAAACGAAUGUAUGUUGCAUGAACCUGCUCUUCAAGGGUGGAGAGCAGCAGCUUCCCCCAUUCACCUAUGAGACGGCAGAGAUGACACUUAGGUGGAGGGGCCCUCCUCCAAGCAAGCAGUCCUCAUGUUCAUCCCAUGGGAGACAAAACCGAAAUCUUCCUUCAUCAGAACCUUGGUAGACCAGCUCUCACUCCUCCACUUACAGAAAAGUGUGCGGGAGAGUUGAGAAUGCACUGGACCAGAAGCCAAGACAGUCACCUUCGCAUACCGGCUCUGCAACUAACUAGCAAGAGACGAGGUUUCGCCAUGCUGGACUCCUGGCCUCAAAUGAUCCACCCACCUCAGGCUCCUGAAGUGCUGGGAUUAGAGGUGUGAGCCACCUACAUUCACUGUUAAUUCUCACUCUCACCCCCUGACGACACCAGGGGAAUCUGAGGUGCAGAACUUGAGUAACUUGCCCCAGGUUUCACACCUGGAGGGUGGUGGGGUCAGAUCCUAGCUCAAAUCUCCGUGACUUCAAGGCCAGAGUUUUUCCAAGGACGCUAAGCAGCCUCUUUGCCAUUGUUAAGUACUGCUGGGCUGUGUCAUUAUUAUUACCUGUUAAUUGGGGGGGACCCCAACGGGAGCUCCACAGUUUGCCUUUCUGUUUGCGGACACCCACUGGCAGCUGCGCUUGGUCCUGCGGUUAUGAGGGUGUAGACUGUGGAGUCGCAUAAGGACUUGACCGCCGGCACAGGGAGCUGGAGCAAACCCAAGACUGACUGAGACCAUUCAUCAUGCCUGGGUGAGCACAAUUUAAAUCUGGAAAUUUCUGCUCAGCCAGAUUAGAGAACUCUAAAUGACAGUAUUUAACUGCUGCCUGAGGACCCUGGAGUUUCUCCCAUGUGACACUUCCAGAAUUGAGGGAGGGAUGUGCUCUUCUCUUGCCUAGGAGGAGGUCCUGGACUGGUCUUGUGGGGAGACUGGACACUUGGCAUCCUCUCCCGCCAUGAACUGCCCGCCAACCCCCGCCGUAUAAAUGUUACUGCUGGGGGUGUGAACAAGUAAACAUGUAUUAUUACCUCCCUUGCCAGCUGAGAAGGUGGCAAUAUUUGCCAGUCCCUUGGACCAGUCUCCCAAACCAUCUUUUUCCACACGUGGUGGUGUCUUUCCUUCUUACUGAAUCAUUUAGGUAAUUACCUCAAUUCUUCACUUUACUUUGGCUAUGAAGACAGAGCCUUAAUGAGCCCAGAGCCCUGAAGAAUCCCAGCUCCGUGGUGAGGCAGCCAGGCGGCGGCCAUGGGAGGGGAAGACGGUAUUAGGGUGCUCACGUUGCGUAACCUGCACGUCCAAGCGGCCAAGCCAGCUGCAUCUGCAGCCCGGACGAGAAGACGGGAGAGGCCCUCCACCAACCAGGGGAACGCAGUCACUUUCUGCAGCAACUCCCAAAGCCUUUAGGACAAACAGACCGAGAGGUUCCUUUGUCCACAGCUGGCCUCUGAAACUGAGCUGACUCUCAAAGGGUUGAGAAGAACCCCAAGGAGGAGAUCGUCUGCACUCAGAGGCUGAAACGUUUGAAAACAGGUGCGGGAGGGGGCGGGGAGGAUGGUCAGUGACAGCACAUUCUUCAGCAAACAUGUGUCAUUUGUGCUUUCACCAAAGCAGAGCUUUUAAUUCCUAAAAUAUAACAGCCUGGUGCAGGGGCUGGAAGAAGAGGGCGCGUUUUAUGGGCAACUCUGCUAAAUGCUUGGUUGCUGAAUGAAAGGUUUGGUUCCGCGGAGGUCCAGGUACCUUCGCCUUCAGAACCACACCUUCCUUUUCAUCUCCAGCCUCCCUGGGCUCUCAACUGACUGCUGGGGGCUGGGGGGUGGGUUGCUCUUGGCCCUCCUGUAGCUAUGCUUGCUACUGGGUGGGAGGGCUUGCUUUAUACUGCAGACAUCUUUCUGGAUUGUUGCUAUCAAUUGACUACUUGCCCUCUGCCUCCUAUGUCCGUGAUUCCUGCUUGUCACAGAAGAACUGCUGGGUCUUUAUUGCUUUUCUCUCCAAGGUCUUUUGAUGAGGCAGAAAGGAAAGGUCAUCAGAUUCAGGCUGACCUGGGUUUCCACUUCUGCUUUGUCAUUUGCAGCUGUGUGGCCUAGGACUAGUGGCUGAACCUCUCUGGGCCCCAGUAAGAUGGAAAACCAAACAUGGGCCUCAUCGGGUUGGUUAUCGUGCAGAUUCAAUAAGCCCAGGGAAAACAUUAACACAAAAUGCUAAUAGCUGAUGCUUACUGAGCUCUUUGUGUGUACCGCACUCUAUUUGAUGUGCUUGGCCAUACAUUAACUUAUUUGAUUUUUUCCAAAAUUCUUAGAGAUAGAUACUGUUAUCGACCUCAUUUUACCAAAGAGGUAAAAAAGGCAUGGACAAGGUAAAUUGCUUGCCAAGCAUUGCCCGAUUUUAAGCCUCUGCAGUCUGUAUACAGAACCUGUGCUUAUAAUUUUGAUUUAAAUACUUACUAAAUGAACAGUAACUUUUAUUAUCUUGCUCGUUAAUACUCCCUGACAACUAAGUUGUCCUCAACUGCCAACAACCACUGCUUAUCCUCAACUGCUUAUCCUUAACUGCCAACAAUCACUGAUGUCACUGGACUCAAGCACCCUUUGUAAUACAGACCUAUUAAUUUAUCUAUUCCAGAAAUAUUGUUAUUGUUCCACACCCGCCGUUUAGCAGAGCCCUCCCUAUUGGUUCAUA